rnacentral:rRNA from 1 species
GAAUGGGGAAACCCACGUGCAUAAGCACGUAUCCUUACCUGAAUACAUAGGGUAAGGAGGCGAACCGGGGGAACUGAAACAUCUAAGUACCCCGAGGAAAAGAAAUCAACCGAGAUUCCGAAAGUAGCGGCGAGCGAAAUUGGACUAGCCCUUAAGCUUUACACGCGUUAGACGAACGGUCUGGAAAGUCCGACGAUACAGGGUGAUAGUCCCGUAGUUGACGACGUGUGUUCAGUGAAAUCGAGUAGGGCGGGACACGUGAUAUCCUGUCUGAAUAUGGGGGGACCAUCCUCCAAGGCUAAAUACUACUGACUGACCGAUAGUGAACCAGUACCGUGAGGGAAAGGCGAAAAGAACCCCUGUGAGGGGAGUGAAAUAGAACCUGAAACCGUGUACGUACAAGCAGUAGGAGCAGGCUUUGUCCUGUGACUGCGUACCUUUUGUAUAAUGGGUCAGCGACUUAUAUUCAGUGGCAAGGUUAACCAUCUAGGGGAGCCGUAGGGAAACCGAGUCUUAACUGGGCGUUCAGUCUCUGGAUAUAGACCCGAAACCAGGUGAUCUAGCCAUGGGCAGGUUGAAGGUUGAGUAACAUCAACUGGAGGACCGAACCGACUAAUGUUGAAAAAUUAGCGGAUGACUUGUGGCUAGGGGUGAAAGGCCAAUCAAACCUGGAGAUAGCUGGUUCUCCCCGAAAGCUAUUUAGGUAGCGCCUCGGACGAAUACUACUGGGGGUAGAGCACUGUUAAGGCUAGGGGGUCAUCCCGACUUACCAACCCUUUGCAAACUCCGAAUACCAGUAAGUACUAUCCGGGAGACACACGGCGGGUGCUAACGUCCGUCGUGGAGAGGGAAACAACCCAGACCGCCAGCUAAGGUCCCAAAUUACUACUAAGUGGGAAACGAUGUGGGAAGGCUCAGACAGCCAGGAUGUUGGCUUAGAAGCAGCCAUCAUUUAAAGAAAGCGUAAUAGCUCACUGGUCGAGUCGGCCUGCGCGGAAGAUGUAACGGGGCUAAGUAGUAAACCGAAGCUGCGGCAAUGUGCUUUUGCACAUUGGGUAGGGGAGCGUUCUGUAAGCGGUUGAAGGUGUGUGGUAACGCAUGCUGGACGUAUCAGAAGUGCGAAUGCUGACAUGAGUAACGAUAAAGGGGGUGAAAAACCUCCUCGCCGGAAGACCAAGGGUUCCUGUCCAACGUUAAUCGGGGCAGGGUAAGUCGACCCCUAAGGCGAGGCCGAAAGGCGUAGUCGAUGGGAAACGGGUUAAUAUUCCCGUACUUCUUACAAUUGCGAUGGGGGGACGGAGAAGGCUAGGUGGGCCUGGCGACGGUUGUCCAGGUUCAAGUGCGUAGGCUUAAGAGUUAGGUAAAUCCGGCUCUUUUUAAGGCUGAGACACGACGUCGAGCACCUACGGGUGUGAAGUCAUUGAUGCCAUGCUUCCAGGAAAAGCCUCUAAGCUUCAGAUUGUAAGGAAUCGUACCCCAAACCGACACAGGUGGUCGGGUAGAGAAUACCAAGGCGCUUGAGAGAACUCGGGUGAAGGAACUAGGCAAAAUGGUACCGUAACUUCGGGAGAAGGUACGCUCUUGAUGGUGAAGUCCCUUGCGGAUGGAGCUGACGAGAGUCGCAGAUACCAGGUGGCUGCAACUGUUUAUUAAAAACACAGCACUGUGCAAAAUCGUAAGAUGACGUAUACGGUGUGACGCCUGCCCGGUGCCGGAAGGUUAAUUGAUGGGGUUAGACUUCGGUCGAAGCUCUUGAUCGAAGCCCCGGUAAACGGCGGCCGUAACUAUAACGGUCCUAAGGUAGCGAAAUUCCUUGUCGGGUAAGUUCCGACCUGCACGAAUGGCGUAAUGAUGGCCACGCUGUCUCCACCCGAGACUCAGUGAAAUUGAAAUCGCUGUGAAGAUGCAGUGUACCCGCGGCUAGACGGAAAGACCCCGUGAACCUUUACUACAGCUUGGCACUGAACAUUGACCCUACAUGUGUAGGAUAGGUGGGAGGCUUUGAAGCACGUACGCCAGUAUGUGUGGAGCCGUCCUUGAAAUACCACCCUUGUAGUGUUGAUGUUCUAACGUCGACCCCUAAUCGGGGUUGCGGACAGUGCCUGGUGGGUAGUUUGACUGGGGCGGUCUCCUCCCAAAGAGUAACGGAGGAGCACGAAGGUGGGCUAAUCACGGUUGGACAUCGUGAGGUUAGUGCAAUGGCAUAAGCCCGCUUGACUGCGAGAAUGACAAUUCGAGCAGGUGCGAAAGCAGGUCAUAGUGAUCCGGUGGUUCUGAAUGGAAGGGCCAUCGCUCAACGGAUAAAAGGUACUCCGGGGAUAACAGGCUGAUACCGCCCAAGAGUUCAUAUCGACGGCGGUGUUUGGCACCUCGAUGUCGGCUCAUCACAUCCUGGGGCUGAAGUCGGUCCCAAGGGUAUGGCUGUUCGCCAUUUAAAGUGGUACGCGAGCUGGGUUUAGAACGUCGUGAGACAGUUCGGUCCCUAUCUGCCGUGGGCGUUGGAAGAUUGAAGGGGGCUGCUCCUAGUACGAGAGGACCGGAGUGGACGAACCUCUGGUGUUCGGGUUGUGUCGCCAGACGCAUUGCCCGGUAGCUAAGUUCGGAAUCGAUAACCGCUGAAAGCAUCUAAGCGGGAAGCGAGCCCUGAGAUGAGUCUUCCCUGAUACUUUAAGUAUCCUAAAGGGUUGUCGGAGACUACGACGUUGAUAGGUCAGGUGUGUAAGUGCUGUGAGGCAUUGAGCUAACUGAUACUAAUUGCCCGUGAGGCUUAACCAU